rnacentral:rRNA from 1 species
AGAGUUUGAUCCUGGCUCAGAUAGAACGCUGGCGGCAUGCCUUACACAUGCAAGUCGAACGGCGGCACGGGGGCAAUCCUGGUGGCGAGUGGCGAACGGGUGAGUAAUAUAUCGGAACGUGCCCAGUAGUGGGGGAUAGCCCGGCGAAAGCCGGAUUAAUACCGCAUACGACCUGAGGGUGAAAGCGGGGGAUCGCAAGACCUCGCGCUAUUGGAGCGGCCGAUAUCAGAUUAGCUAGUUGGUGGGGUAAAGGCCUACCAAGGCUACGAUCUGUAGUUGGUCUGAGAGGACGACCAGCCACACUGGGACUGAGACACGGCCCAGACUCCUACGGGAGGCAGCAGUGGGGAAUUUUUCACAAUGGGGGCAACCCUGAUGGAGCGACGCCGCGUGGAGGAUGAAGGUUUUCGGAUUGUAAACUCCUGUCAUCACAGAACAAUGUUUUACCGGUUAACAUUCGGUGGAAAUUGAUGGUAUGUGAAGAGGAAGGGACGGCUAACUCUGUGCCAGCAGCCGCGGUAAUACAGAGGUCCCGAGCGUUGUUCGGAUUAACUGGGCGUAAAGGGUGUGUAGGAGGUUGGGUAAGUCGGAUGUGAAAUCUCACCGCUUAACGGUGAAACUGCAUUCGAUACUGCUUAACUCGAGGAUCGGAGGGGGGAGUGGAAUUCUUGGUGUAGCAGUGAAAUGCGUAGAUAUCAAGAGGAACACCAGCGGCGAAGGCGACUCCCUGGAAGAUUCCUGACUCUGAAACACGAAAGCUAGGGGAGCAAGCGGGAUUAGAUACCCUGGUAGUCC